rnacentral:rRNA from 1 species
UACGAAGGGGGCUAGCGUUGCUCGGAUUGACUGGGCGUAAAGGGCGCGUAGGCGGUUCGUACAGUCAGACGUGAAAUUCCUGGGCUCAACCUGGGGCUGCGUUUGAUACGUGCGGACUUGAGUGCGGAAGAGGGUCGUGGAAUUCCCAGUGUAGAGGUGAAAUUCGUAGAUAUUGGGAAGAACACCGGUGGCGAAGGCGGCGACCUGGUCCUUGACUGACGCUGAGGCGCGAAAGCGUGGGGAGCAAACAGGAUUGAGAAACCCG